rnacentral:ncRNA from 1 species
CUGGGGUCCCCAGUUCAAGAGGGGCAGAAAUUCAGUGAAGUGCGGGUAAACAGCAGGAGUAACUAUCACUCUCUUAAGGUAGCCAAAUGCCUUGUCAUCUAAUUAGUGGCAUGUGUGAAUG